GUUGGGGAAUUUGGACAAUGGGCGAAAGCCUGAUCCAGCAAUGCCGCGUGUGUGAAGAAGGCCUUCGGGUUGUAAAGCACUUUUGUCCGGAAAGAAAUCCUUGGCUCUAAUACAGUCGGGGGAUGACGGUACCGGAAGAAUAAGCACCGGCUAACUACGUGCCAGCAGCCGCGGUAAUACGUAGGGUGCAAGCGUUAAUCGGAAUUACUGGGCGUAAAGCGUGCGCAGGCGGUUUGCUAAGACCGAUGUGAAAUCCCCGGGCUCAACCUGGGAACUGCAUUGGUGACUGGCAGGCUAGAGUAUGGCAGAGGGGGGUAGAAUUCCACGUGUAGCAGUGAAAUGCGUAGAGAUGUGGAGGAAUACCGAUGGCGAAGGCAGCCCCCUGGGCCAAUACUGACGCUCAUGCACGAAAGCGUGGGGAGCAAACAGGAUUAGAUACCCUGGUAGUCCACGCCCUAAAACGAUGUCAACUAGUUGUUGGGGAUUCAUUUCCUUAGUAACGUAGCUAACGCGUGAAGUUGACCGCCUGGGGAGUACGGUCGCAAGAUUAAAACUCAAAUGAAUUGACGGGGUCAUAGCUGUUUCCU
rnacentral:rRNA from 1 species